CCCGAACUAACUCUAUCUUACAGGCCUACCACCUUAACUGGUUCUCUUGCCGGACCCGACCUAUAAGAAGUGUGAACCCCGAGCUCAACUCAGGCUACAAAUACAGUUAGGGCUCUGGACUACUAUACAACACCUCCGGCUUACAAGCACAUAACAAGUAAUCAAUUCAUUGCACCCGACCCGACCUAUCAGUAUGACUUUAUUGGCCUACCUCGACU
rnacentral:lncRNA from 1 species